GGGCUUGUGGCGCAGCAUGGAUAGCGUGGUAACCUCCUAAGUUACAGGUCGAGGGAUCGAAGCCCUCCAAGCCCG
rnacentral:tRNA from 1 species